GGGGGGACGCAGUAGGAUAGGCGAAGCGUGCGAUUGGAUUGCACGUCUAAGCAGUAAGGCUGAGUAUUAGGCAAAUCCGGUACUCGUUAAGGCUGAGCUGUGAUGGGGAGAAGACAUUGUGUCUUCGAGUCGUUGAUUUCACACUGCCGAGAAAAGCCUCUAGAUAGAAAAUAGGUGCCCGUACCGCAAACCGACACAGGUAGUCAAGAUGAGAAUUCUAAGGUGAGCGAGCGAACUCUCGUUAAGGAACUCGGCAAAAUGACCCCGUAACUUCGGGAGAAGGGGUGCUCUUUAGGGUUAACGCCCAGNNAUUUGGGCACUGUCUCAACGAGAGACUCGGUGAAAUCAUAGUACCUGUGAAGAUGCAGGUUACCCGCGACAGGACGGAAAGACCCCGUGGAGCUUUACUGUAGCCUGAUAUUGAAAUUCGGCACAGCUUGUACAGGAUAGGUAGGAGCCUUUGAAACGUGAGCGCUAGCUUACGUGGAGGCGCUGGUGGGAUACUACCCUAGCUGUGUUGGCUUUCUAACCCGCACCACUUAUCGUGGUGGGAGACAGUGUCAGGCGGGCAGUUUGACUGGGGCGGUCGCCUCCUAAAAGGUAACGGAGGCGCUCAAAGGUUCCCUCAGAAUGGUUGGAAAUCAUUCAUAGAGUGUAAAGGCAUAAGGGAGCUUGACUGCGAGACCUACAAGUCGAGCAGGGUCGAAAGACGGACUUAGUGAUCCGGUGGUUCCGCAUGGAAGGGCCAUCGCUCAACGGAUAAAAGCUACCCCGGGGAUAACAGGCUUAUCUCCCCCAAGAGUUCACAUCGACGGGGAGGUUUGGCACCUCGAUGUCGGCUCAUCGCAUCCUGGGGCUGUAGUCGGUCCCAAGGGUUGGGCUGUUCGCCCAUUAAAGCGGUACGCGAGCUGGGUUCAGAACGUCGUGAGACAGUUCGGUCCCUAUCCGUCGUGGGCGUAGGAAAUUUGAGAGGAGCUGUCCUUAGUACGAGAGGACCGGGAUGGACAUACCUCUGGUGUACCAGUUGUCGUGCCAACGGCAUAGCUGGGUAGCUAUGUGUGGAAGGGAUAAGUGCUGAAAGCAUCUAAGCAUGAAGCCCCCCUCAAGAUGAGAUUUCCCAACUUCGGUUAUAAGAUCCCUCAAAGAUGAUGAGGUUAAUAGGUUCGAGGUGGAAGCAUGGUGACAUGUGGAGCUGACGAAUACUAAUCGAUCGAAGACUUAAUCAAAUU
rnacentral:rRNA from 1 species